rnacentral:lncRNA from 1 species
CUCCCCUAUUGAUGAAGAGAAUAAUGACUUGACAUUGCAUGUCUAUGUGGGGAAUAGAUCUAGUUCAAGAGCUUUAGAGAGAAGACAUUCUUCCUUUCUUCUUUGAGAGAGGACAUAUGCAUUCCAGACUCCUUUCUGGACUGACUCUGGGGAAGAAGAGAACAAAAAAUUUUGGAACAGAAGUAUCUUCCAAGAAACUGAAAAAUGACUUGGCUUUCCCAAUGGUUCAUCCUUUUCCACUUGGUACACAGCUGUUAAUUAUCAACUGAGGCCUCAUAGCUAUAUGGACUAUUAGAGCUGGAAAACACCUUUGGAGAACCUCUAGUUUAAUUAUGUCAUUUUAAAGAUGAAGAAAGUGAG